rnacentral:rRNA from 1 species
AAUGAACGCUGGCGGCAGGCCUAACACAUGCGAGUCGAACGGAUCCUUCGGGAUUAGUGGCGGACGGGUGAGUAACGCGUGGGAACAUACCCUUUGGUACGGAAUAGCCUCGGGAAACUGGGGGUAAUACCGUAUGUGGUCGAGAGACGAAAGAUUUAUCGCCAAAGGAUUGGCCCGCGUUGGAUUAGGUAGUUGGUGGGGUAAUGGCCUACCAAGCCGACGAUCCAUAGCUGGUUUGAGAGGAUGAUCAGCCACACUGGGACUGAGACACGGCCCAGACUCCCACGGGAGGCAGCAGUGGGGAAUCUUAGACAAUGGGGGAAACCCUGAUCUAGCCAUGCCGCGUGAUCGAUGAAGGCCUUAGGGUUGUAAAGAUCUUUCAGGUGGGAAGAUAAUGACUGUACCACCAGAAGAAGCCCCGGCUAACUCCGUGCCAGCCGCCGCCGUAAUAC